AGCAUGCAACACAGAAAAUAUUAGAGUCGAAAAGGGCAUUAGACUAUACAGAAUGGUCAGAGAGCCAGAAGGCAGUCCAGGGGUUUUUAACCUGGCAUCCAUCCUCAAGGGACGCUGAUAGAUUUCAGAGAAUCCAGCAAUUUGUAUGGGGGGGGGAAAUUACACCUUUAUUUUAUUAUAAUUGGUUUCCUUUAUCAUCCUAGGUAUUUUAUUUAUGCAUUUAAGAGCAUCAUUCUGAGAAGGGAUCCAGAGACUUCAUCCAAACUGCCAAACUGUCGGUGACAUGGACAAGGUUAAGAACACCUUAUAGUCCAAUUCCAUCCACAUUUUACAGAGGAACAAACUGAGAUCCCAAAAGGCUGAGUGACUUGGCUUAGAUCCUUCAGUGAGUGACUUAGUGAGAGAGCCAAGAUCAUUCAAGACUGACUCCCAACCCAGGACUCUUUGCCCUCAUAGGUUGCACCAUCACACCCCAGAGCUUUCCACCUGAGGAAGAAAAUGCGCAAAAGACAAGUGAUCUUACUGGUGGUCUUUGAAAGUAGCCGUGGCCAAAUGAUUCAUCACUCAGCAGCCAGCUUGAUGAUGAGACUCUCUGGUUCUCAGACGAAAGACAUUUGUCCAGUCCUGGAGGCUGGUCCUCCAGCUCCCAUGAGGAGGUCAAAGGAAGCCAUGGUCCUGCCAUGUCCACAUCUGGAGUACAGCAUUCAGUCAUUACUACUAAUCAGAAGAACCUGCUCUCUAACCUCCAGCUGCACUUGGCAUUUGCCCUUCAGCUGGCAUUUAGCCUAUUGCUUUCAUCUUUGGUUAGCUUGUUCUUUGCUAUGUAGGGCCUGUCUCUCUUGCCCAAUUGUAAGGAGACCUCUUAUGCCUCCAGCUUCCCAGGGCCAACGGCAUAUUUAGGAACUCACCAACCAUCUGUGGAUGCUGACAGUGAUACCCCCAGACAGCCUGGGGCUGGCUUGCCUUCAGAUUGUAGUUCUAGAAGCAGCCUGGCCAGCCAGGCCGAAAUUUCCCAAGAGAAACGAAGAAUUAUCUCAGUGUCAGAAUCAGAAGGUACCUGAGUGAUGGACUGUUCCAACCUCCUUGUUUUACAGAAGAUAUAUUAAGACCUCCAUAAGGAAAGUAACUGUCUCAGGAUCACACAGGAAGUUAAUAGUAGAAGCAAAGCUGUUUUUUGUUUUUUGUGUUUUGGAGCGGGGAGGGAAUGGGGAAGAAUUUAAUUAGCGUCUGGAAACAUCCUAUGUGGAAACUCCCUCCACCAAUACAAAUGGGAACUUUGUAAUUUAGGCAUAAUUUCAUAGAUUCAUAGAGUUGGAAGGGACCUCACUCAGGUAAGUCAAUAAGUAUUUAUUAAAACUAUGUAUCAGGUGCUCUGCUAAGUGCUGAGGUUACAAAGAAAGACGAAAAAGUGGUCCCAGAGCUUAAGGAGAUUAUAUUUUAAUGGGAGACACCAUGGAAUCAGCUAUGUGAUUUCGAAGGUGGCUUUUGACUCUAUCCACUGCUAUGACCAACUGAGCUAAUUACAGAAAUGCUUAUCAUUGGAGGGCUGCUCAAUAGAGGGUGUUUUAGAACCACAGUCACUCACUUUCUUUCCUCCUACCCCACUUCCUCAGUUGGGGUUAAGUGUCUUUCCCGGGAUCACAAGGCUGAAUCGCAGGUCCUCCUGACUCCAGGGCUAUAAACUUCACCACCUAACUGCCCCAACCACGGUCACUCACAAAGGCUGCCUGCGAAGGUGUUCCAUGCCUGUCUGGCUCUCCCUCCUCAUCUCUGCCUCUUGUCUGCCUCAUUUUUCUUCAAGUCUCACCUUUCCCAGUUCAUCCCAAUUCUCUCUGGGUUUAUUUCCAAUUUAUCUGUCUUUGUAGCUUGUUUGUACAAAGUGGUUUGCAUCUUGUCUCUCAGUUUACUUGGAACUUCUUGAGACCAGGCAGGAACUGUUUUUUUUUUUUUGCUUGUCUUUGUAUUCCUAGCACUUAGCACAAUGCCAGGCACAAGGUGUUUAGCAAAUGUUAGUGGAGUCACUGUCAGGAUUGAAGUUAAAGGGCCUGGGUUUAAAUCCUAUGUUUGAUGCUUACUACCUAUUCGACCUUAGGCAAGUCAUUACCUUCUCCAGGUCUCAGUUUCCUCAUCUAUAAAAUGAAGGGGAUUAGAUGAGAUGGUCUUCUUAUGGAAGUACUCUCUGUGAGGUAGUUAGUCCAAGUAAUAUUAUCCACAUUUAAUGGAUAUGAAUUUUGAGAACCAGAGCAGGUAAAUGACUUAGCCAGGGUUAGCAGCUGUUCAGUGGCCAAACCGGGAUUAGGGCUUGGGUCUUCUGAUUCCAAAUCCAGCUGGCUGGGGUAUUUUUCGGGCCCUAGAUAUCACAGGAUAGAGACAGACCUGGAGAGGCAGAGGCAGCACAGUCAGAAUUCAGUUUAUGAAGGGCUAACCUCAUCCAAGGCCUCCAGGCAAAAGAAUCUUCCCACCUCCGCCUCGGGAGAGUGAAAUGAAGGCGGGAUUUCUGGAUUCUGUUCCCGCCCCCACCCCCACCCCACCUCCGCAGCUCUUCUAGAGAAGGAUGUUGGUAGCCUUCCAUUCACCCUACUGUACUUUCCUAUAUCAGAAGAAUGGAAGUGGGGGACGGGACUGGGACAAGGAGAACCCUUGAUCUCAGAGUCUACUCUGAUUUUCAGGUGGGGAGGGGUGGAACAAAAUAGAACCAAUUCUGCCCCCACCCCCCACCUCCUAUCCUGGAUUUUCUCGGGUCUCUCAAAAGAAGAGAUUGGAAUGAUUGUCUCCUAAGGUUUCUUUCAGUUUUAAAUGGCAGUCUCCCUUCUCCCGGACUUCAAAAAGUAGAUUAAGGGGGGCGGGGUAGGGAUGGAGGGAAGGGAGAGAAAGGCGCACCUGCCUGGCGAGUGUUUGAUUGAGGGCAUGGCUCAGGAUGUAGGGCUGGGGGAGCCCUCGGUUAGAGCAAGGCUAGGCUGCCUGAGUCAGUCAGCUAAUGUCCAAGUGCACCUCUCUGGGUUUCUUAGUUUCGUUUUUUGGCUAAUUUCAUUAUCAUUCCAAACCCUUUCCACGGCCGGGUAUUUUAUGUGAGGUUGAGCCAAACCCUUCCCUUCUCCGGAAUUCCAUCUGCAGAAGAAGAGGUUGGAUCCCAUGAUCUUUAAGCCCCUUUCCCCACUCCAAGUCCUGGGAUCCCAUCACCCCAGCCUGCUGCCAGGCAAGGCUUUCGGAGGUUGCAUUCCUGAGGAGGGAGGGGCUGCCUAAUUAAGGAAGCCGGUCUGAACAGCUCAUUCCCGAUAGGCUUGUAGUCUAGUCUCCCUCGAGCUGAGCUAGAGAGGACGUUGUUAAGGAAGGAAAUAGUUGUGGCCAGACAGCUUCACAGGCUCUGCAUGGAAAACCCCUUUGGUGCCUGGUGUUUCCUGGCUGCUGCAAACCAGAGUGCCUCCACCAAAAUAUGGUCACAGUCAUAGAACGUUAGGGCUCAGGGAUCAUCCUGUGUGACCUCUUCAUUUUAUAGAAAAGGAAACUGAGAAUCAUCCAAAAGAAGCGACCCCACAGCAAAGCUGCAGUCACUGAACAGGAGAGAAUGGAAACAGAACGGAAGGCUUCUGAACCUUAAGAAUAAUUGUGGCUGGCAUGUCAAUAGCCCUUUAAAAUUUCCUAAGGGCUUUCUUCUCAACAACCCUGUGAAGUGGGUAUGAGAGCAUUAUUAUCAUUAAUUUAAUUCAGAGGAUGCUAGACUGAGGGCCGGAAGAAACCUCGGAGGCCACUGAUUGCAGGGAGGUGGAGCCUUACCCCAAGCUCAUUCAACUGGGCACUGACAGGGGAUUUGAACCCAGCUAUUUCUUGACUCCAAGUUCAGUAUUGUGUCCAUUAGGUCAGGCUACAUCUCUAAUUCCAUUUAACACGCACUUAUUUAGUAUCCACUAAAUGAAAGGCCCUUGUGGGCAGCUAGGUGACAAAGUGGCAAACCCAGGCCUAGGGUCUGGAAGAUUCAUCUUUCUGAGUUCAAAUCUGGCCUCAGACACUUGCUAGUUGUGUGACUCUGGGUAAGUCACUUAACCCUUAUGUGUCUCAGUUACCGAGCUGUAAAAUGGGGACACAUUGGAGAAGGAAAUGGCAAAUCAAUCCAGUAUCUUUGCCAAGAAAACCCAAUGGACAAAGCCCGUGGGAUCAGAGUUGGACAUGACAGAACAACAAAAGCAAAACACUAUGGUUGGGGCUAAAUCAUAGGCUGUUACCUUGGAUCUAUGCAUCAAGGACCAGGCAGAGCUGUUGUUAUGCUGGGCCCAAAGAGAAACAAAGACAAACCCAAAACAGGUCCUGUCCUCAAGAAGCUACAACAAAUGCACAAAGUAAAUACAAAAUAAACAUGUAAAAAUAGAGAGAGGAGAAGAGCCC
rnacentral:lncRNA from 1 species